UCGAUGCCUACAAGGUGCUCGAUGAAAAUCCAGGUAGACUGUCCUCGAUGAAAUAUAUGAGAAAAAAUUUAGGAAAAGAUAAUUGGUGAUAUGUUCAGUCAAAGCAAAAGAGAAAGUAAGAAUCAAGAGAGAGAAGAAAUAAUUUUGAUUCAGCCACCAUGAUUAGUUUGGUAUAUAUUUUUUUGCCUGUAGUAUAUAAAUAAAUGCAUAUUGGAUUUUUACCUCUCGUAUUUGAGGGUGGAAUCUCCAGCCUGCUCUGAAGGGCAUCGCGUCGGAGGCAAGUGUUUGCCCUUACUUGCCCAGAGGCAACUGAUGGCCUCCUGGACAGAAUGUGCAAAAGUAAUAUCAAUGCUAAUAGUUGUGCAAAAGAAAUAUCCUUCCAGUAUGUAGCAUAUCCAAAAUACUACUUGCUAAUGGUUUAUUUGUUUUGGGGUUAACUUUUUUCAUGGACUGAUAUUAGUUUCCUUUGCCCUAAAUCACUCUACAAAAAAAUGCGCAAAAGAAAUAUUAAUGCUUUAUGUUGCAAAGUUGUUUUGGUUUAAGCACAAGCAAGUGGAUUUUCUACUUGCAAGGUUGUUUGUUAGUUUGCUUUUGGACAAUGCAAGCCAGUCAGGUGGUAGGUGUCAUUGAUUUUAGAGCUCAUGACUCAUGACUAAAAUCGGGUACCUUUUCUAGGUAAAUUGUGUCUCCUUUAAUUCGUGGUAUGGGUUACUUAAAUUAAUUCAGUAUCAAAGAUGCUUCGAGUGGUGAGGAACUUGACUGCUUCAUCAUAGAGAUGUUGAAGAUCUACUGUUCUUACAGUAUAAGUUGCCUACAAUAUUGUUGGAUUCCUUUCUCACAUCAAAAUAUAGGUAAACUACUGGUCUUCAUAAUCGACUGCAAAACAAGAAAAGCUUAAUUACCUGAAAUAUAUAUCAGAGUGAAGGCACUUAUUCCAGGUUUUGCAUAUUCUAUCAUUGCAGCUUUAGUUCCAUGGUUCCACCCAACCUGGCGACAUUUGCACCACUCGCAGGUACACAAACUUCUCCCUUCUUUCAUGAUAUCAAAUGUUGGAUUAGUCCUGGUCCUGCUGAAUCAUACUUUUCAUUGGAAAAUUUGGGCAUGAGAAGGAAAAAAAAUAUUUGCACCGGCUCUGGCGUGUGCCACAUGUUUGACAGGCAUAUGCCAUGGGAUUCAAUGAAGAAGAGGAGCAGGUGUUGUGCACGGUCGUCGCUGAAGCGCCUAGGCCCUAGCAGCUGAAUCUGAGAAGCAUUUGGCAUGUACCAAGAUCUCAAAGAUGCAGAAGAAAAAGCCACUACAGACCAUCUUUGUCUUUUGAAGGCUCUGCUUCCACUCCGACAGGUUCCUCCGCCCCGCUGUGACGGACUUUCCUUUGCUUCGACGAUGUCGUCUGCUCUAGCGGCAACAUGGCGGGAGACAUCAUCCUCUAGCAAUGCCAACUAGCUGCAGGCCCCUCUCUGCCGUCACUUGACUGCUAGAAGUGACAUCUACAUCUUUGGUGUGCUCUUUCUUGGGGCGAAAAUCCAUCGACAAGUACUGGCCCAGCAGCGAGCGCAACCUGGUCAACUGGGUUCGUCCCAAGUUGAGCUACAAGAGGCGGCUUCUCCAAAUCAUCGACCCAAAACUAGAGGCGGAGUAUUCAGAUAGAGGUGCUCACAAGGCCUGCAGCCUUGCAUAUUGGUGCCUGAGCUAGAACCCCAAGGCUAGGCUCCUCAUGAGCGAUGUCGUCGAGAUGCUUGAACCACUGCAAGAAGGUGGUGGAAGCGAUGGACCUAUUGUUCACGUGGGUGGCCUCCCCGACUACAGAAUUUGCCGCAUGUUGAUAGGAUACAACGUGCACUGCAUGGCCAUUCCCAGCCCCAAGUGCCCACCUGUCAUCCCGACGUGCAGGGUUAGAUGAUAACAACUUCUGCAGUUCCAGGUUUUACCUGCAGCAGCAGUAGGUCAAGUUGUAAAUUGUGAGCUCUUUCAAUGUGUAAAUUUGAUCCGCACAUCGCUGCUGCGUUUUGUUUCUGCCGCUUAUAAGGACCUUCAGUUUU